rnacentral:rRNA from 1 species
UUAAGCGACUAAGCGUACACGGUGGAUGCCCUGGCAGUCAGAGGCGAUGAAGGACGUGCUAAUCUGCGAUAAGCGUCGGUAAGGUGAUAUGAACCGUUAUAACCGGCGAUUUCCGAAUGGGGAAACCCAGUGUGUUUCGACACACUAUCAUUAACUGAAUCCAUAGGUUAAUGAGGCGAACCGGGGGAACUGAAACAUCUAAGUACCCCGAGGAAAAGAAAUCAACCGAGAUUCCCCCAGUAGCGGCGAGCGAACGGGGAGCAGCCCAGAGCCUGAAUCAGUGUGUGUGUUAGUGGAAGCGUCUGGAAAGGCGCGCGAUACAGGGUGACAGCCCCGUACACAAAAAUGCACAUAUUGUGAGCUCGAUGAGUAGGGCGGGACACGUGGUAUCCUGUCUGAAUAUGGGGGGACCAUCCUCCAAGGCUAAAUACUCCUGACUGACCGAUAGUGAACCAGUACCGUGAGGGAAAGGCGAAAAGAACCCCGGCGAGGGGAGUGAAAAAGAACCUGAAACCGUGUACGUACAAGCAGUGGGAGCCUCUUUUAUGGGGUGACUGCGUACCUUUUGUAUAAUGGGUCAGCGACUUAUAUUCUGUAGCAAGGUUAACCGAAUAGGGGAGCCGAAGGGAAACCGAGUCUUAACUGGGCGUUAAGUUGCAGGGUAUAGACCCGAAACCCGGUGAUCUAGCCAUGGGCAGGUUGAAGGUUGGGUAACACUAACUGGAGGACCGAACCGACUAAUGUUGAAAAAUUAGCGGAUGACUUGUGGCUGGGGGUGAAAGGCCAAUCAAACCGGGAGAUAGCUGGUUCUCCCCGAAAGCUAUUUAGGUAGCGCCUCGUGAAUUCAUCUCCGGGGGUAGAGCACUGUUUCGGCAAGGGGGUCAUCCCGACUUACCAACCCGAUGCAAACUGCGAAUACCGGAGAAUGUUAUCACGGGAGACACACGGCGGGUGCUAACGUCCGUCGUGAAGAGGGAAACAACCCAGACCGCCAGCUAAGGUCCCAAAGUCAUGGUUAAGUGGGAAACGAUGUGGGAAGGCCCAGACAGCCAGGAUGUUGGCUUAGAAGCAGCCAUCAUUUAAAGAAAGCGUAAUAGCUCACUGGUCGAGUCGGCCUGCGCGGAAGAUGUAACGGGGCUAAACCAUGCACCGAAGCUGCGGCAGCGACACUAUGUGUUGUUGGGUAGGGGAGCGUUCUGUAAGCCUGUGAAGGUGUACUGUGAGGUAUGCUGGAGGUAUCAGAAGUGCGAAUGCUGACAUAAGUAACGAUAAAGCGGGUGAAAAGCCCGCUCGCCGGAAGACCAAGGGUUCCUGUCCAACGUUAAUCGGGGCAGGGUGAGUCGACCCCUAAGGCGAGGCCGAAAGGCGUAGUCGAUGGGAAACAGGUUAAUAUUCCUGUACUUGGUGUUACUGCGAAGGGGGGACGGAGAAGGCUAUGUUGGCCGGGCGACGGUUGUCCCGGUUUAAGCGUGUAGGCUGGUUUUCCAGGCAAAUCCGGAAAAUCAAGGCUGAGGCGUGAUGACGAGGCACUACGGUGCUGAAGCAACAAAUGCCCUGCUUCCAGGAAAAGCCUCUAAGCAUCAGGUAACAUCAAAUCGUACCCCAAACCGACACAGGUGGUCAGGUAGAGAAUACCAAGGCGCUUGAGAGAACUCGGGUGAAGGAACUAGGCAAAAUGGUGCCGUAACUUCGGGAGAAGGCACGCUGAUAUGUAGGUGAAGUCCCUCGCGGAUGGAGCUGAAAUCAGUCGAAGAUACCAGCUGGCUGCAACUGUUUAUUAAAAACACAGCACUGUGCAAACACGAAAGUGGACGUAUACGGUGUGACGCCUGCCCGGUGCCGGAAGGUUAAUUGAUGGGGUUAGCGCAAGCGAAGCUCUUGAUCGAAGCCCCGGUAAACGGCGGCCGUAACUAUAACGGUCCUAAGGUAGCGAAAUUCCUUGUCGGGUAAGUUCCGACCUGCACGAAUGGCGUAAUGAUGGCCAGGCUGUCUCCACCCGAGACUCAGUGAAAUUGAACUCGCUGUGAAGAUGCAGUGUACCCGCGGCAAGACGGAAAGACCCCGUGAACCUUUACUAUAGCUUGACACUGAACAUUGAGCCUUGAUGUGUAGGAUAGGUGGGAGGCUUUGAAGUGUGGACGCCAGUCUGCAUGGAGCCGACCUUGAAAUACCACCCUUUAAUGUUUGAUGUUCUAACGUUGACCCGUGAUCCGGGUUGCGGACAGUGUCUGGUGGGUAGUUUGACUGGGGCGGUCUCCUCCUAAAGAGUAACGGAGGAGCACGAAGGUUGGCUAAUCCUGGUCGGACAUCAGGAGGUUAGUGCAAUGGCAUAAGCCAGCUUGACUGCGAGCGUGACGGCGCGAGCAGGUGCGAAAGCAGGUCAUAGUGAUCCGGUGGUUCUGAAUGGAAGGGCCAUCGCUCAACGGAUAAAAGGUACUCCGGGGAUAACAGGCUGAUACCGCCCAAGAGUUCAUAUCGACGGCGGUGUUUGGCACCUCGAUGUCGGCUCAUCACAUCCUGGGGCUGAAGUAGGUCCCAAGGGUAUGGCUGUUCGCCAUUUAAAGUGGUACGCGAGCUGGGUUUAGAACGUCGUGAGACAGUUCGGUCCCUAUCUGCCGUGGGCGCUGGAGAACUGAGGGGGGCUGCUCCUAGUACGAGAGGACCGGAGUGGACGCAUCACUGGUGUUCGGGUUGUCAUGCCAAUGGCACUGCCCGGUAGCUAAAUGCGGAAGAGAUAAGUGCUGAAAGCAUCUAAGCACGAAACUUGCCCCGAGAUGAGUUCUCCCUGACUCCUUGAGAGUCCUGAAGGAACGUUGAAGACGACGACGUUGAUAGGCCGGGUGUGUAAGCGCAGCGAUGCGUUGAGCUAACCGGUACUAAUGAACCGUGAGGCUUAACCUU